rnacentral:rRNA from 1 species
AUGGCAAGCCGGAAGCUCAAGCACUAUUUUCAGGGUCAUCCUAUCACAGUGGUUAGUUCAGCCCCUUUGGGAAAUAUCAUACAAAACAGAGAGGCGACUGGCCGGAUUGCCAAGUGGGCUAUUGAGCUCGGACCUCACGGGCUCAAGUAUACACCUCGCACGGCGAUUAAAUCUCAAGCACUCGUGGACUUCAUCAAUGAUUGGACAGAGUUGCAGGCACCAGAGGAAAAGCCAGCCAACACUUAUUGUACUAUUCACUUUGAUGGAUCCAGGCAAUUGGAGGGCUCGGGGGCUGGAGUCAUAUUAACUUCCCCACGAGGUGACAAGUUUUGUUAUGUUCUUCGCUCAAUGUUCCCUUGCACUAACAAUGCAGCUGAGUAUGAGGCCUUACUCCACGGUCUUAGGAUGGCUAAGGAAAUGAACUUAAGCCGGGUCAAGUGCUUCGGUGACUCAGACCUGGUGGCUCAACAGGUGUCUGGCACUUGGGAUUCUAAGGACCCACUCAUGGCUGCAUAUCGACGAGAGGUAGACAUAGUGGCUGGUCAUUUCAAGGGUUAUCAAGUUGACCAUAUAGACCGGAGAAAGAAUGAAGCGGCGGACGCUUUAAGUCGCCUAGGCUCUCAGCGUAAACCAGUCCCACCUAAUGUCUUUGUCGAUGUACUACAUAAUCCGUCGGUCAAGAUACCAACAGAGGAGGAGUUGGCUAUUCCUGACCCGGAGGCCCAGUUGGUGGCGGCUUUGCAUGUUACACCGGAUUGGACAGUCCCGUACUUGGCUUACAUGAACCGGGGCGAGUUACCGGAGGAUGAAACCUUGGCCCGGCAGAUAAUUCGGCAGUCCAAGUCAAUGACCAUUAUCAAUGGGGAGUUACAUCGUUACAACAUUACAGGAGUAAUUCAGCGUUGCGUGUCUCCUCAAGAGGGUUGUGAGAUUUUGCGAGAAAUCCACGAAGGAGAUUGUUGGUCACCACGCCGGUUCAAAAUCCUUGGUGGCUAA